rnacentral:lncRNA from 1 species
AGGGGAGCAUGGAAUGGGAUUUGAACAUUUCACCAAUGCCCUUUUAGUGUGUGGGCAACCGAAAGAGCUACUGAUGUUUUUCAAAAACACACUCCCUCCUGAGGUUUUUCAGAUGCUUUUGUACAAAAUUCCCAUUAUUUGCCAGCAACUUGAGGCAGACAUGCAUGAGCAAGAAGUACUUGACGGAUGAUCCUGACUGAAAACAUCUCAGCGCAUCCACACCCAGUCAGAGUAUGUUCUGUCCAGUAAAAACAACUGCUCAAUGA